rnacentral:lncRNA from 1 species
CUCCCACAUAGUACGGAUAAUUUCCUCACGUUGAACUUGCAUUUCUCGAUCAUGUGACCGAGAAGACGAACCAACAUUGUUACUUUGAGCCAUUUGUUGGUCAAUAUCCUCCGCAACUAUAUCUUCAUGUUCAUAGACCAUAAAUAUUUCAUCACUACUUUGGUAUUCUCGCAAAUAAUUAUGUAACACUGCACAAGCUAUGACAAUUUUCACUUGUGUAUCAAUAUCAUAAUGGUUCAUGUCUUGUUUCAGUAUUCUAAAUCUAUUUUUUCAAGCUCCAAAAGUCCGUUCAAUCACAUUGCGCAGAGAUGAAUGCCUAUAAUUAAACAG